UACGGUAGGGGGCAAGCGUUGUCCGGAUUUAUUGGGCGUAAAGAGCGUGUAGGCGGCCAGACAGGUCCGUUGUGAAAACUCGAGGCUCAACCUCGAGACGCCGAUGGAAACCGUCUGGCUAGAGUCCGGAAGAGGAGAGUGGAAUUCCUGGUGUAGCGGUGAAAUGCGCAGAUAUCUGGAAGAACACCAAAGGCGAAGGCAGUGUCCUGGGUGGUCGCUGACGCUGAGGAGCGAAAGCAUGGGGAGCGAACAGG
rnacentral:rRNA from 1 species